UACGUAGGGUGCGAGCGUUAAUCGGAAUUACUGGGCGUAAAGCGUGCGCAGGCGGUUUGUUAAGCCAGAUGUGAAAGCCCCGGGCUCAACCUGGGAACUGCGUUUGGUACUGGCAAGCUAGAGUACGGCAGAGGGGGGUGGAAUUCCACGUGUAGCAGUGAAAUGCGUAGAGAUGUGGAGGAACACCGAUGGCGAAGGCAGGUCUCUGGGCUGACACUGACGCUCAUGCACGAAAGCGUGGGGAGCAAACAGG
rnacentral:rRNA from 1 species